CGAAGGGGGCUAGCGUUGUUCGGAAUUACUGGGCGUAAAGCGCGUGUAGGCGGUUGCCCGAGUCGGGUGUGAAAGCCUUGAGCUCAACUCAAGAAAUGCACUCGAUACUGGGGCGACUAGAGGACCGGAGAGGAUAGUGGAAUUCCCAGUGUAGUGGUGAAAUACGUAGAGAUUGGGAAGAACACCAGUGGCGAAGGCGGCUAUCUGGACGGUUUCUGACGCUAAGACGCGAAAGCGUGGGGAGCAAACAGGAUUAGAUACCCUGGUAGUCCACGCCGUAAACGAUGGGUGCUAGACGUUGGCGAGCUUGCUCGUCAGUGUCGCAGCUAACGCGUUAAGCACCCCGCCUGGGGAGUACGGCCGCAAGGUUG
rnacentral:rRNA from 1 species